UUAAAAGCUGUGAUGCAGAGAAGUAAGCAGUUAAUUAUUUAUUCAGAGAAUGAGCCGUUUUGCUGUGAGGCUUUAUAAAUAAUCUGCUAAAAUGCACUGCGGAGUUGCUUAAAGGAAUUUAGUAUUUUAAGCCGUUUUGCCACGUUAUAGGCAUAAGCUGUAUAUUUUGCAGCCUGAGUAUAAACAAGAGUGGAACCGCAGUAUUUUAUUGCCUCUGUC
rnacentral:ncRNA from 1 species